rnacentral:rRNA from 1 species
GCUCAACCGUAAACUUUUAUUUACAACUGUAACGCCAGAGAACUACAAGCAAAGCUUAAAACUCAAAGGACUUGACGGUACCCCAUAUCCACCUAGAGGAGCCUGUUCUAUAAUCGAUAACCCCCGCUUUACCUUACCAUUUUUAGCUUAUCAGUCUGUAUACCUCCGUCGUCAGCUUACCACGUGAGCGGAUCUCAGUAAGCUUAAUGCCCAUUACGCCAAUACGUCAGGUCAAGGUGCAGCAAACAAAAUGUGAAAGAAAUGGGCUACACUCUCUAAUUUAGAAUAUACAAAAAACUUUAUGAAACCAAGUUUGAAGGCGGAUUUAGCAGUAAAAAGAAAUCAAAGAGUUCUUUUUAAUAAGGCACUAGGGUGUGUACACACCGCCCGUCACCCUCUUCAAAGCCACUUAAUAGUAUCUAACCUUUAUAUGCACCCAAGAAGAGGUAAGUCGUAACAUGGUAAGUAUACCGGAAGGUGUGCUUGGAAA